rnacentral:rRNA from 1 species
GACGAACGCUGGCGGCGUGCCUAAUACAUGCAAGUAGAACGCUGAAGAGAGGAGCUUACUCUUCUUGGAUGAGUUGCGAACGGGUGAGUAACGCGUAGGUAACCUGCCUUGUAGCGGGGGAUAACUAUUGGAAACGAUAGCUAAUACCGCAUAACAAUGGAUGACACAUGUCAUUUAUUUGAAAGGGGCAAUUGCUCCACUACAAGAUGGACCUGCGUUGUAUUAGCUAGUAGGUGAGGUAAUGGCUCACCUAGGCGACGAUACAUAGCCGACCUGAGAGGGUGAUCGGCCACACUGGGACUGAGACACGGCCCAGGCGCCUACGGGAGGCAGCAGUAGGGAAUCUUCGGCAAUGGGGGCAACCCUGACCGAGCAACGCCGCGUGAGGGAAGAAGGUUUUCGGAUCGGAAAGCUCGGUUGUAAGUCAAGAACGGGUGUGAGAGUGGAAAGUUCACACUGUGACGGUAGCUUACCAGAAAGGGACGGCUAACUACGUG